rnacentral:rRNA from 1 species
UGCCAGCAGCCGCGGUAAUACGGAGGGGGCUAGCGUUAUCUGGAAUAAUUGGGCGUAAAGGGUUCGUAGGCUGUAUUUGGCUGUUGAGCGUUAAAGACCAAAGCCCAACUUUGGAGAUGCGUUCAAAACGUUUAUACUUGAGUGCGAGAUAGGACAAUGGAAUUUUACAAGGAGGGGUGAAAUCCGUAGAACUGUAAAGGAACACCAAAAGCGAAGGCAAUUGUCUGGCUCGUUACUGACGCUGAGGAACGAAAGCGUGGGUAUCGAACAGGAUUAGAUA